UCCAGGUCGGUUUCUAUCUAUGUACACGCCCCACCUAGUACGAAAGGAGCGGUGAAGCAAAGCCAAUACUACAAGCACGCUUUAAUAUAAAAUAGCCCACUAAUAUAAAACUUAACCCACCCUCAAACCAAGAAAAGGUUAAUUAAGAACCCCCUUAAUACAUC
rnacentral:rRNA from 1 species